AAGAGUUUAGACAAAAACAGAAGUAAAGAGACAAUUUUGGAUCGAUAGUUAUAAAUCAAGAGUUGGAAUCAAGAACUCAAUAAGUGUAUCUAUCUUAAUCAGGUGCGUAGUAAUCUGCCGGACCUAGGAGUUGCUGUUACCUGACCUGGCAGAUGCAAAAGAGAUGGAAUUGAAGUAAAAAUCAGAAGUCUUGUCCAGACCUGGGAGAAUUAAAAGUUGGCGACAUGAACAGAAUGGAGCAUGAGCAUAUCAUUUUAAAAGUUUUACUCAAGGGAAAGAGCGUCAAAUCACCAGAGGGAUACCCUAGGGAUCAGAGCCUCACAUAUAUAAAGAGCUCAACCUUGAAGAACAAAACAGCCACUUCUGCACACUUUAGUUCAAGCUCUCGUUCUAUGCCCUAGUUCCAAACUUCAAAUUUCUCAUUUUCACUUGCUACGCACUUGGAGAUGGAGUGAUCUUGGCCACCAUGGUUCCAUCGUUAUUUUGCUGCUGUGUAACAUCGCCUUGUGAAGGCGAAGAAAUAAUAUUUACUUUGCUUUGCUUAGUUUACUUUCGGUUUCAA